CAUUGUUAUUAUUAUAUUUCGCAGAAGCAGACAUACAUACCAUAUAUCUACCACUAACAGACAAGCAGACAAACACAGCAGAUUUGGGAAGAAAUGAAAAUAUCCAUCUACUUAGAGAUGAACACACACCAGAUUUGUUCAAGAAUGAAAAGCUCCUCCUGUGGUUAAUCAUUUCAUUAAUUUACUUUCAGUUCUAUAUGCUAUCAUCUUGUUUUACUUCAGG